GGUAGAUAUAUUUCAAUGGUAGAAAGAGUAUUUGUGGUAUACUAUAUCUAAGUUCGAUUCUUAGUAUUUACCCUC
rnacentral:tRNA from 1 species